UGAACAAGAGAAGGAAACUUCAAAAAUAGAUGAUGCAUCAACAAAUCAAGGAAAAAAAAAACAACUGAAGAGGAAGCAAAAACUGAUCACCUACAACAAGAAAAGGCUGGAUCAGAAUUAGUGAAUACAGGGUAUUUGAUUCCCAUAAUGUUCAUUUUCAUAUUACUUAAUAAACAUUUUUAAUUAUUUGAAAUUAAUUGAUUUUCAGAAAUCAAUCACCUAAGAAAGACACAAGAGAGGUUGAACAACUACAACCAAAAAAGGAUGCAGCAGGAAAUCAAUCAACUGAAGAUGAGCCUCCAAAAGAGGCUACAACAAAGGAUCAGCCUACACAACAAGUGAAGGCUAUAGCAGAGGAUGAGCCUCCAGCAGAGGAAGAGCCUCCAAAAGAGGAUGAACCUCCAGCAGCAGUUGAAGAAACACAUUCAUA